GAUGAACGCUAGCGGCAGGCCUAACACAUGCAAGUCGAGGGAGGAGCCUUCGGGCUUCGACCGGCGUACGGGUGCGUAACGCGUAUACAAUCUGCCUUUCACAUAGGGAUAGCCCGAAGAAAUUUGGAUUAAUACCUAAUGGUAUAUAGAUGUGGCAUCACCUUUAUAUUAAAUCUGAGGCGGUGAAAGAUGAGUAUGCGUUCUAUUAGCUAGUUGGAGAGGUAACGGCUCCCCAAGGCGACGAUAGAUAGGGGUUCUGAGAGGGAUAUCCCCCACACUGGUACUGAGAUACGGACCAGACUCCUACGGGAGGCAGCAGUGAGGAAUAUUGGACAAUGGUCGGAAGACUGAUCCAGCCAUGCCGCGUGCAGGAAGACGGCCUUAUGGGUUGUAAACUGCUUUUGCAGGGGAAGAAUAAGGACUACGCGUAGUUUGAUGACGGUACUCUGCGAAUAAGCAUCGGCUAACUCCGUG
rnacentral:rRNA from 1 species